GAKGAAGCGCUGGCGGCGUGCGUUAACACAUGCAAGUCGAACGAACCUUCGGGUUAGUGGCGGACGGGUGAGUAACGCGUGAGAAUCUGCCCUCAGGAGGGGGAUACACGKUUGGAAACGACCGCUAAUACCCCAUAUGCCUACUGGUGAAAUGAAUUUCGCCUGAGGAUGAGCUCGCGUCUGAUUAGCUAGUUGGUGAGGUAAUUKCUCACCAAGGCUUCGAUCAGUAGCUGGUCUGAGAGGAUGAUCAGCCACACUGGGACUGAGACACGGCCCAGACUCCUACGGGAGGCAGCAGUGGGGAAUUUUCCGCAAUGGGCGAAAGCUGKACGGAGCAACGCCGCGUGAGGGACGAAGGCCUCUGGGCUGUAAACCUCUUUUCUCAAGGAAGAAGAUAUGACGGUACUUGAGGAAUAAGCCACGGCUAAUUCCGUGCCAGCAGCCGCGGUAAUACGGGAGUGGCAAGCGUUAUCSGGAAUUAUUGGGCGUAAAGCGUCCGCAGSSGGCUUUUCAAGUCUGCUGUUAAAGCGUGGAGCUUAACUCCAUCAUGGCAGUGGAAACUGRAAGGCUUGAGUAUGGUAGGGGCAGAGGGAAUUCCCSGUGUAGCGGUGAAAUKCGUAGAUAUCGGGRAGAACACCAGUKGCGAAGGCGCUCUKCUGGGCCAUUACUGACGCUCAUGGACGAAASCCAGGGGAGCGAAAGGGAUUAGAUACCCYUGUAGYCCUGGCCGUAAACGAUGAACACUAGUUGUCGGGGGAGACUGACCCUUCGKUGUCGUUASUAACGCGUUAAGUGUUCCGCCUGGGGAGUACGCACGCAAGUGUGAAACUCAAAGGAAUUGACGGGGGCCCGCACAAGCGGUGGAGUAUGUGGUUUAAUUCGAUGCAACGCGAAGAACCUUACCAGGGUUUGACAUCCUGCGAACCUCUUAGAAAUUUGAGGGUGCCUUCGGGAAUGCAGUGACAGGUGGUGCAUGGCUGUCGUCAGCYCGUGUCGUGAGAUGUUGGGUUAAGUCCCGCAACGAGCGCAACCCACGUUUUUAGUUKCCAGCAUUUAGUUGGGCACUCUAGAAAGACCGCCGGUGAUAAACCGGAGGAAGGUGUGGAUGACGUCAAGUCAUCAUGCCCCUUACACCCUGGGCUACACACGUACUACAAUGCUACGGACAAAGGGCAGCAAACUCGCGAGAGCUAGCAAAUCCCAUAAACCGUGGCUCAGUUCAGAYCGUAGGCUGCAACUCGCCUACGUGAAGUAGGAAUCGCUAGUAAUCGCAGGUCAGCAUACUNCGGUGAAUACGUUCCCGGGCCUUGUACACACCGCCCGUCACACCAUGGAAGUUGGCCAUGCCCGAAGUCGUUACUCCAACCCUUGUGGAGGAGGACGCCGAAGGUGGGGCUAAUGACU
rnacentral:rRNA from 1 species